UCAACUCACUACUGUAAGUCUCUCUGGAUAAGAGUGUCUGCUAAAUGACUAAAA
rfam:Salmo salar isolate Sally breed double haploid chromosome ssa19, whole genome shotgun sequence.